rnacentral:misc_RNA from 1 species
GAUGAAGAACGCAGCGAAAUGCGAUAAGUAGUGUGAAUUGCAGAAUUCAGUGAAUCAUCGAAUCUUUGAACGCACAUUGCGCCCCUUGGUACUCCAUGGGGCAUGCCUGUUCGAGCCUCAUUUACACCCUCAAGCUCAGCUUGGUGUUGGGCGUCUGUCCCGCUUCGUGCGCGGACUCGCCUCAAAUGCAUUGGCAGCGGUCUUGCCAGCUUCUCGCGCAGCACAUUGCGCUUCUAGAGGCUUUGGCGGAUCGGCGUCCAUCAAGUACACCCACAGUUUGACCUCGGAUCAGGUAGGGAUACCCGCUGAACUUAAGCAUAUCAAUAAGCGGAGGA